rnacentral:lncRNA from 10 species
AAGCAGGUUCCCCCUAGGCAGAGCGCCAAGAAGCAGCCCAGGCGAUCCCAAGGCGCACAAGUGCUCUCACCAGGCUGCGCGCUGGCGGGUCGGUGCACAGGGACGGGGUCGCCGCCCACGCGCGCUUGGUUCAGGGAGCCCAGGCUGUCCCUACCCGCGGCUACAAAAGCUCGCCGAGUCUUCCUGUCCACCCAAUCGCCCCACAUGUCAGCGGUUGGUCGCCUCGCGGUGCAGUGCUGGGCACGCGAGCCCCUCCCGCAGUCAUUCUCAGCACAAGCACCAGCCUGGAGCCCCGCAGCGACAGAGCUGAGAGCCCCCAAGCCGCAGAGGUCGUGCGGAGCAGGUUGGUCUAAUUGAAGGCAAUGGAGAAGUAAGUCUUUAUGGAUCAAAAUCUUAGCUCUAGAAAAGUUGCCCUUGGCUAUAAAGCCUGAAGUGGGUGUUGGAGUAGUCAACGACUAACCCAGGAUGGAUUUGUGCCAAUACACAAGUGACAACAUCUUUCACAGCUGAAGAGUCGGAGGAUAAAGCCAUGCCCACAGAUCGUUGUCACACAGAUUUGAUUAAGUGAAACAAAGCCCCAGCUGCUGGAGCAGAGGUUCCACUUGGGUUCCACAGACACCCACAGCCCAAAUCCCUGGAGGCCUAAGGCAAUAGCUAAUUGAGACUAUGCAUCACUAUUAAGGCAUCUUCACUAAAGGGCGCUGUGGAAACGCUGCCUGAGAUGCAGACACCUGUCAGAAGGGGGCUAAAUUUCAAACAAGGAACGUGGUGUUGCAUCACAAUAAAAACAGAAGAAACACACGUGUUCUUGUGUGUAAACCCAGUCCAUGGAAGAGACCGUCUGCUUGUCCCUCCUGAUCUCUGGGCCCAGACAACCAGUAGUCACCAUUCCAAGUGAGGGGUGGCUGCAACUCUACAGCCCCGUUCGUCUCUCCUCACUGUCAAAGCUGCUGAGACCCCAGACUCGACACUUGAAAGAAACCCAUGUCUGUGAAGCACUUGUGGACCAUUCAAGAUUGUGGAAGAAUCACUCAAGAGAAGGAGAUAGGUGAUGGGAUCUAGCUUCUGAUGGUUUCUAUUUUAUUGAAUGUCUAAUAGGGCAAGAAUUUGAAAAACGAGAAUGUUUGCCAUGCAGGAGGACCUGGGAAGGAGAUAACACAUUUACAGGGAGAAAGAUUGGGAUUCAGUUGGGAGGAGUAACUGAGGAAAGGGGUCACUCAAAAUAUUUUGUAUUUUAGGUCCUUUUUCUAUUAAGGAGGAAUGGAUUAUCAAAGCCUUAACAUUAAAUUGUAUUGUGUCAGGUGAAUUGCUAUGGUUUGAAUGUGGUGUGUCCCCCUCCCAAACUCACAUUGAAUUUUUUUUUUUUUUUUUGAGACGGAGUCUCGCUCUGUUGCCCAGGCUGGAGUGCAGUGGUGCGAUCUUGGCUCACUACAAGCUCUGCCUCCCGGGUUCAAGAGAUUCUCCUGCCUCAGCCUCCCGAGUAGCUGGGAUUACAGAUGUUCGUCACCACACCUGGCUAAUUUUUGUAUUUUUAAUAGAGAUGGGGUUUCACUAUGUUGGCUAGGCUGGUCUCAAACUCCCGACAUCAGGUGAUCCACCCACCUCGGCCUCCCAAAGUGCUGGGAUUAGAGGAGUGAGCCACUGCACCCAGCCUCACGUUGAGGUUUAAUUGCCAUUGUAACAGUAUAAAGAUGUGGGACCUUUACGAGGUGAUUAGGCAAUGAGGACUCUGCCCUCAUGAAUGGAUUAAUGCUGUUAUCAUGGGAGUGGAUUCCUUAUAAAGGGACACGUUCAGCACCCCCUUGCUCUCUCUCUCACCUUCCGCCAUAUGAUGAUGGGGCACAAAGGCCAUCAUCAGAUGUUGGCCCCUUGUUCUCGAACUUCCCAACCUCCAGAGCAGUAAAAAAAUAAAUCACUGUUCUUUAC